UGCUUAGUAACGGCGAGUGAGCGGCAAAAGCUCAAAUUUGAAAUCUGGCGUCUUCGACGUCCGAGUUGUAAUUUGAAGAAGGCAACUUUGUAGCUGGUCCUUGUCUAUGUUCCUUGGAACAGGACGUCAUAGAGGGUGAGAAUCCCGUGUGGCGAGGAUCCCAGUUAUUUGUAAAGUGCUUUCGACGAGUCGAGUUGUUUGGGAAUGCAGCUCUAAGUGGGUGGUAAAUUCCAUCUAAAGCUAAAUAUUGGCGAGAGACCGAUAGCGAACAAGUACAGUGAUGGAAAGAUGAAAAGAACUUUGAAAAGAGAGUGAAAAAGUACGUGAAAUUGUUGAAAGGGAAGGGCAUUUGAUCAGACAUGGCGUUUGCUUCGGCUUUCGCUGGGCCAGCAUCAGUUUUAGCGGUUGGAUAAAUCCUCGGGAAUGUGGCUCUGCUUCGGUAGAGUGUUAUAGCCCGUGGGAAUACAGCCAGCUGGGACUGAGGAUUGCGACUUUUGUCAAGGAUGCUGGCGUAAUGGUUAAAUGCCGC
rnacentral:rRNA from 1 species